GUCUUGGUGGCUCAGUUGGCUAGAGCGUUGGUCUCAUAGAAAUAUGAAGCACUCUCAGAGUGAGCUAUCCAAAGGUCGUGAGUUCAAGCCUCACCCAGGACA